UAUUUGAGGACACCAAGAGGUGACCAUCAGCAAGCCCAGGAGAGAGGCCUCAGAAGAAACCAGACCUGCUGAUUCCUUGAUCUUGAACUUCUAGCCUCCGGAACUAUCCAACUUGAAUGCUUCCUGAUUAAAUAUAUACAGGAGUGAUUUCAGAGGAAUUUAAGUUUUGGAUCAUUCUUUUGAGAAAGAAAGAAAAGUACCCUUUUAAAAGAGGUGGCUCUUGAACAACACAGGUUUGAACUGCAUCAUUCCACUUAUACACAGACUUUCUUCUGCCACUGCCACUCCUGAGACAACAUGACCAAUCUCUCCCCUUCCUCCUCCUCAGCGUACUUUCAACAUAAAGACGACGAGGAUAAAGGCAUUUAUGAUGAACUACUUCCACAUAAUGAAUAAUUGAACAAAGGAGAGAAUUGUGAGAGUGAGAAAAAGUGAGACAAAGAAGAAAAACUAUAAAUCAGCAAAAUACAGUGCCAAGAGCUCUGGACCACAAAUCAGAAGACCUGAGCCCUAAUUCCUUUCCAGUCAUUGGAUUUGUUCGUCGCUUGCCAAAAUAGCAGCGAACUCUCUGUCAAACUGCAACUCAUUUUAUCGGAGCAAAAACUGAACAAAGAACUGCUAUCAUUUCUGAGGUCAGAGGCAGUGCAGCUUGUGUUACAACUCAAAAGAGUAAUACUCUGAAAAAAGAAAAAAAAAGAUGGCGCUGAAAAUAAACAUGUUCAGCAGCCAUUGUGAUUCAACUUACCCAGAUGUGCUUUUCAUGAGAUGGAGAAGGACGGAUGGAAAAGAAAAGCACACAAAUGUUAAUGGAUACAGUUCAAUCCAAAGAAAACCAUGGAAUAAAACAAGAGCAUUAUUUAAGAUGUGAGAAAGCU
rnacentral:lncRNA from 10 species